GGAAGUAAAAGUCGUAACAAGGUUUCCGUAGGUGAACCUGCGGAAGGAUCAUUAAAGUGGCGUCCGGCUGCGCACCUCCCCCGCGGGGGUCGCGCGGUCCGUACCUCCCACCCGUGUUUACUGAACUAUUGUUGCCUUGGCAGGCCUGCCGGGCCUCUGGCUGCCGGGGAUCGCCCGCCUUGCGCGGCGUCCCGGGCGCGCGCCUGCCAGUGGAUCAAUUGAACUCUUAUGUGAAGAUUGUCAGUCUGAGCAUCAUAGCAAAAAUCAAACAAAACUUUCAACAACGGAUCUCUUGGUUCCGGCAUCGAUGAAGAACGCAGCGAAAUGCGAUAAGUAAUGUGAAUUGCAGAAUUCCGUGAAUCAUCGAAUCUUUGAACGCACAUUGCGCCCUCUGGUAUUCCGGGGGGCAUGCCUGUUCGAGCGUCAUUGCAAACCCUUCAAGCACGGCUUGUGUGUUGGGCCAACGUCCCCGCUUGUGUGGACGGGCCUGAAAUGCAGUGGCGGCACCGAGUUCCUGGUGUCUGAGUGUAUGGGAAAUCACUUCAUCGCUCAAAGACCCGAUCGGGGCCGAUCUUUUUUUUUUUUUAAUAUCCGGUUUGACCUCGGAUCAGGUAGGAGUACCCGCUGAACUUAAGCAUAUCAAUAAGCGGAGGAAAAGAAACCAACAGGGAUUGCCUCAGUAACGGCGAGUGAAGCGGCAAAAGCUCAAAUUUGAAAUCUGGCUCCAUGCGGAGCCCGAGUUGUAAUUUGGAGAGGACACUUCGGGUGCGGCCACGGCAUAAGUUCCUUGGAACAGGACGUCAUAGAGGGUGAGAAUCCCGUCUUUGGCUGCUGGACCGCGCCCAUGCGAAGUUCCUUCGACGAGUCGAGUUGUUUGGGAAUGCAGCUCUAAGUGGGUGGUAAAUUUCAUCUAAAGCUAAAUAUUGGCCGGAGACCGAUAGCGCACAAGUAGAGUGAUCGAAAGGUUAAAAGCACCUUGAAAAGGGAGUUAAAUAGCACGUGAAAUUGUUGAAAGGGAAGCGCUUGCAACCAGACUCGGUCGUGGGGGCUCAGCGGGCAUGAGUGCCCGUGUACUCCCCCAUGCUCCGGGCCAGCAUCAGUUCUGGCGGUUGGUUAAAGGCCUCUGGAAUGUAUCGUCCUCCGGGACGUCUUAUAGCCAGGGGCGCAAUGCGGCCAGCCGGGACUGAGGAACGCGCUUCGGCACGGAUGCUGGCAUAAUGGUUGUAAGCGGCCCGUCUUGAAACACGGACC
rnacentral:rRNA from 1 species